GACGAACCGUGCGAACGUUGUUCGGAAUCACUGGGCUUAAAGGGCGCGUAGGCGGCCCGCCGCGUCCGGGGUGAAAUCCCACGGCUCAACCGUGGAACGGCCCCGGGUACGGGCGGGCUGGAGGGGGGUAGGGGCGUGCGGAACUGUGCGUGGAGCGGUGAAAUGCGUUGAUAUGCACAGGAACUCCGGUGGCGAAGGCGGCACGCUGGGCCCUUUCUGACGCUGAGGCGCGAAAGCCAGGGGAGCGAACGGG
rnacentral:rRNA from 1 species